GAUGAACGCUGGCGGCGUGCUUAACACAUGCAAGUCGAACGAUGAAGCCCAGCUUGCUGGGUGGAUUAGUGGCGAACGGGUGAGUAACACGUGAGUAACCUGCCCUUAACUCUGGGAUAAGCCUGGGAAACUGGGUCUAAUACCGGAUAGGAGCGCCUACCGCAUGGUGGGUGUUGGAGAGAUUUAUCGGUUUUGGAUGGACUCGCGGCCUAUCAGCUUGUUGGUGAGGUAAUGGCUCACCAAGGCGACGACGGGUAGCCGGCCUGAGAGGGUGACCGGCCACACUGGGACUGAGACACGGCCCAGACUCCUACGGGAGGCAGCAGUGGGGAAUAUUGCACAAUGGGCGAAAGCCUGAUGCAGCGACGCCGCGUGAGGGAUGACGGCCUUCGGGUUGUAAACCGCUUUCAGUAGUGAAGAAGCGAAAGUGACGGUACCUGCAGAAGAAGCACCGGCUAACUACGUG
rnacentral:rRNA from 1 species